UAUAGACGCAACGAAGAAAACAGCAGUUAUAAGCAAAAGCUGCGUCCAGUGAAAAUAAAGUUAAACUAUUGGGUCUCACAGAUGCGAAUCAGUGCUAGUUGAUACAGUAGCCGCAAAUUAAAAUUCAGGAGAUAAGCAAAUUAGUUCAAUGGGUGGAUAAUGGGGCAUGACCUUACCAUUCUCUUUGUCUUAGUUUCUGAUGCCAAGAUCAAGAUCAACUCUACCAGGAUGAGUAUGCAUCUCUUCAAGAUUAUGCUGAAUCUCAUAUAUAAAACUAAAACAUGAGACCUGGUUUGUGCCAAGUUCAGAGAUAACAUCUAAGGAUGGAACUCUACUAGCCCAAAGUUCCUUUGGUUGUAGUUACUGCUGCUGUGGUGAUCCUUAGUUACUAGUAUGGAGUUUGCAAGAGAUCUUAGUAGACUUACCUUUGUAGAUCUCUCUUGGAUGUUAUGAAUAUGUGUCCUAUAAUGCUGCUCUAUUGAUUAAUUUGGCAGUUUCACUAUCUGUGUAUUUGUUCUUAGCAACAAUAAGAGCACCACUAGUUAUUCCAUUACUUAAAAGCAACCGUUAUCAUA